rnacentral:tRNA from 1 species
GUGGCUGUGGCUCAAUGGUAGAGUUCUUGCCUUGAAUGGAUGAGACACUGGGUUGGAUCCUCAGCACCACA